UACGGGGGGGGCAAGCGUUGUUCGGAAUUACUGGGCGUAAAGGGCUCGUAGGUGGCCAACUAAGUCAGACGUGAAAUCCCUCGGCUUAACCGGGGAACUGCGUCUGAUACUGGAUGGCUUGAGUUCGGGAGAGGGAUGCGGAAUUCCAGGUGUAGCGGUGAAAUGCGUAGAUAUCGGGAGGAACACCUGUGGCGAAAGCGGCUCACUGGACCACAACUGACGCUGAGGCGCGAAAGCUAGGGGAGCAAACAGG
rnacentral:rRNA from 1 species